ACGGGUGAGUAAUGUCUGGGAAACUGCCUGAUGGAGGGGGAUAACUACUGGAAACGGUAGCUAAUACCGCAUAACGUCGCAAGACCAAAGUGGGGGACCUUCGGGCCUCACGCCAUCAGAUGUGCCCAGAUGGGAUUAGCUAGUAGGUGGGGUAACGGCUCACCUAGGCGACGAUCCCUAGCUGGUCUGAGAGGAUGACCAGCCACACUGGAACUGAGACACGGUCCAGACUCCUACGGGAGGCAGCAGUGGGGAAUAUUGCACAAUGGGCGCAAGCCUGAUGCAGCCAUGCCGCGUGUGUGAAGAAGGCCUUCGGGUUGUAAAGUACUUUCAGCGGGGAGGAAGGCGAUGCGGUUAAUAACCGCGUCGAUUGACGUUACCCGCAGAAGAAGCACCGGCUAACUCCGUGCCAGCAGCCGCGGUAAUACGGAGGGUGCAAGCGUUAAUCGGAAUUACUGGGCGUAAAGCGCACGCAGGCGGUCUGUUAAGUCAGAUGUGAAAUCCCCGGGCUUAACCUGGGAACUGCAUUUGAAACUGGCAGGCUUGAGUCUUGUAGAGGGGGGUAGAAUUCCAGGUGU
rnacentral:rRNA from 1 species